rnacentral:lncRNA from 1 species
GCCACAUCUCACCUGAUGUCCUUUCUCUUUCAGAGAUGUGUGGACUUACAGAAGCUGGACAAAAGAGCUCUUGCUGCGGCAUCAGGGUAAUUACAACCUGCUAAUAGCACGCUCAGCACUCAGCACUUCUGGUUCUAGAUGUUAUAUCGUUAACCUUCCUGGUGUCUGAUGAGGCAAGUGCUCCUUAGGAUGCUGCUCCACAAGCAGUGCAACGUUGACGUGUAUGGGCUGCGUCUUCUCUGCACCUCGAUUGCCAACCCUGCAGUGUGAGGACCACACCUUGCUCAUCUUUGUGUACCUGCCACCUCUCACAGUACUGGUCCCUCCAGUCUCUCACGGUUACAUAGUGACAUGUUUAGCGCCUUCUGCCACCAAGAGGGUUGAAAGAGAAAAUAAUCUACCCUUCGGAAUUUGAAUUAUGGUCCUGCAUCAAAGCACCUCUUAAAGCCAAACCUCCACUCACAAAUGAGGGCGUUCGGUAGGAGAUGAAGACAAGAAAUUAUCUUUCAAGUGGAAUCGAAAAGCAAAGUAGGAUAAGCAGUCAUCAACCCACUGAAAGUCCUUCAUCUGAUCACUAGAAGAGAAGCUCACAUGGAUUCAGGAAGUCCCUGUCUAAUAAGAAAGGU